AUUGAACGCUGGCGGCAGGCCUAACACAUGCAAGUCGAACGAGUGGCGGACGGGUGAGUAAUGUCUGGGAAACUGCCUGAUGGAGGGGGAUAACUACUGGAAACGGUAGCUAAUACCGCAUACCAUCAGAUGUGCCCAGAUGGGAUUAGCUAGUUGGUGGGGUAACGGCUCACCAAGGCGACGAUCCCUAGCUGGUCUGAGAGGAUGACCAUCCCCGCUGGAACGAGGCAUCAGUCCAGACUCCUACGAGAGGCGGCAGUGGGGAAUAUUUCACAAUGGUCGAAAGCCUGAUGCCGCCAUGCCGCGUGUAUGAAGAAGGCCUUCGAGUUGUAAAGUACUUUCAGCUGGGAGGCGUUACCCGCAGAAGAAGCACCGGCUAACUCCGUGCGAUCAGCCGCGGUAAUUC
rnacentral:rRNA from 1 species